CCUACGGGGGGCAGCAGUGGGGAAUAUUGGACAAUGGGGGGAACCCUGAUCCAGCCAUGCCGCGUGUGUGAAGAAGGCCCUCGGGUUGUAAAGCACUUUCAGUGAGGAAGAACGCCUGGUGGUUAAUACCCAUCAGGAAAGACAUCACUCACAGAAGAAGCACCGGCUAACUCCGUGCCAGCAGCCGCGGUAAUACGGAGGGUGCGAGCGUUAAUCGGAAUUACUGGGCGUAAAGCGCGCGUAGGUGGCUUGAUAAGCCGGUUGUGAAAGCCCCGGGCUCAACCUGGGAACGGCAUCCGGAACUGUCCAGCUAGAGUGGAGGAGAGGAAGGUAGAAUUCCCGGUGUAGCGGUGAAAUGCGUAGAGAUCGGGAGGAAAACCAGUGGCGAAGGCGGCCUACUGGACUGACACUGACACUGAGGUUCGAAAGCGUGGGUAGCAAACAGGAUUAGAUACCCCAGUAGUC
rnacentral:rRNA from 1 species